AUUGAACGCUGGCGGCAUGCUCUACACAUGCAAGUCGAACGGUAACAGGCCGCAAGGUGCUGACGAGUGGCGAACGGGUGAGUAAUGCAUCGGAACGUGCCCAGUCGUGGGGGAUAACUACUCGAAAGAGUAGCUAAUACCGCAUACGAUCUAUGGAUGAAAGCGGGGGACCGUAAGGCCUCGCGCGAUUGGAGCGGCCGAUGUCAGAUUAGGUAGUUGGUGGGGUAAAGGCUCACCAAGCCAACGAUCUGUAGCUGGUCUGAGAGGACGACCAGCCACACUGGGACUGGGACACGGCCCAGACUCCUACGGGAGGCAGCAGUGGGGAAUUUUGGACAAUGGGCGCAAGCCUGAUCCAGCAAUGCCGCGUGCAGGAAGAAGGCCUUCGGGUUGUAAACUGCUUUUGUACGGAACGAAACGGCUCUGGUUAAUACCCGGGGCUAAUGACGGUACCGUAAGAAUAAGCACCGGCUAACUACGUG
rnacentral:rRNA from 1 species